CCUACGGGUGGCAGCAGUGAGGAAUAUUGGUCAAUGGACGAGAGUCUGAACCAGCCAAGUAGCGUGAAGGAUGACUGCCCUAUGGGUUGUAAACUUCUUUUAUAUGGGAAUAAAAUGUUCCACGUGUGGGAUUUUGUAUGUACCAUAUGAAUAAGGAUCGGCUAACUCCGUGCCAGCAGCCGCGGUAAUACGGAGGAUCCGAGCGUUAUCCGGAUUUAUUGGGUUUAAAGGGAGCGUAGGUGGAUUGUUAAGUCAGUUGUGAAAGUUUGCGGCUCAACCGUAAAAUUGCAGUUGAAACUGGCAGUCUUGAGUACAGUAGAGGUGGGCGGAAUGCGUGGUGUAGCGGUGAAAUGCUGAGAUAUCACGAAGAACUCCGAUUGCGAAGGCAGUUCACUGGACUGCAACUGACACUGAGGCUCGAAAGUGUGGGUAUCAAACAGGAUUAGAUACCCUAGUAGUC
rnacentral:rRNA from 1 species